rnacentral:ncRNA from 1 species
UCAAGCCGUAUGAGUGCGAAAGUUUCAUGUACGGUUUCUAGGGGGGUUUCGGGGGUAGUAAUACUCCCUUCCCACCCGAC